UGGACAGAUUAUUAUAUUCGACUGUAUUCACGGCGUGAAAUAGGGGAUUACACUGUUUUUAAAACGGAAAGUGAAUCAAUUAACAUAAUAGACUCCU
rnacentral:pre_miRNA from 1 species